UACGUAGGGUGCAAGCGUUGUCCGGAAUUAUUGGGCGUAAAGAGCUCGUAGGCGGUUUGUCGCGUCGAAUGUGAAAUCCCGGGGCUCAACCCCGGGUCUGCAUUCGAUACGGGCAGACUAGAGUUCGGUAGGGGAGUCUGGAAUUCCUGGUGUAGCGGUGAAAUGCGCAGAUAUCAGGAGGAACACCGGUGGCGAAGGCGGGACUCUGGGCCGAUACUGACUCUGAGGAGCGAAAGCGUGGGGAGCAAACAGG
rnacentral:rRNA from 1 species